CGCCUCUUGCCCAUAUAAGAGGUCCAGCCUGCCCAGUGACUUAUUUAACGGCCGCGGUAUCCUGACCGUGCGAAGGUAGCAUAAUCACUUGUUCCUUAAAUCGGGACUAGUAUGAAAGGCAUCACGAGAAUCCAACUGUCUCCUGUUUCUAAUCAGUGAAAUUAAUCUCCCUGUGAAAAAGCAGGGAUAACACCGCAAGACGAGAAGACCCUAUGGAGCUUUAAACUAAGAGACACCCACUUUGUCUCUCUAAACCUUCCGAAAAAAUUAACUAUAAAAGUAGGCUGAUCUCAAGUUUUUGGUUGGGGCGACCGCGGAGUAAAAUACACCCCCCGCAAUGAUAAGCAUAACCUUAAGUUAAAAGCUACACCUUAAAAAUCAGUACACUGACAUAAUUGACCCAAUAUUUUGAUCAACGAACCAAGUUACCCUAGGGAUAACAGCGCAAUCCGCUUUAAGAGUACAUAUCGACAAGCAGGUUUACGACCUCGAUGUUGGAUCAGGGCAUCCUAGUGGUGUAGCCGCUACUAAUGGUUCGUUUGUUCAACGAUUAAAACCCU
rnacentral:rRNA from 1 species